GAUGAACGCUGGCGGCGUGCCUAAUACAUGCAAGUCGAGCGAACGGACGAGAAGCUUGCUUUUCUGAUGUUAGCGGCGGACGGGUGAGUAACACGUGGAUAACCCACCUAUAAGACUGGGAUAACUUCGGGAAACCGGAGCUAAUACCGGAUAAUAUUUUGAACCGCAUGGGUCAAAAGUGAAUGACGGUCUUGCUGUCACUUAUAGAUGGAUCCGCGCUGCAUUAGCUAGUUGGUAAGGUAACGGCUUACCAAGGCAACGAUGCAUAGCCGACCUGAGAGGGCGAUCGGCCGCCCUGGAGCUGGGACACGGUCCAGACUCCUGCGGGAGGCAGCAGUCUGGAACCUUCCGCAGUGGGCGGAAGCAUGGCGGAGCAACGCCGCGUGAGUGGUGAAGGUCUUCGGAUCGUAAAGCUCUGUUAUUAGUGAAGAACAUAUGUGUAAGUAACCGUGCACAUCUUGACGGUACCUAAUCAGAAAGCCACGGCUAACUACGUG
rnacentral:rRNA from 1 species